rnacentral:rRNA from 1 species
ACGAAGUAGCAAUACUUAGUGGCAGACGGGUGAGUAACAUGUAGGUAUCUGCCCUUUGGCCUGGAAUAACACGAGGAAACUUGUGCUAAUACCGGAUAAGUCUUUACGGAGAAAGCUUUAUGCACCAUUGGAUGAGCCUGCACUUGAUUAGUUUGUUGGUGGGGUAAUGGCCUACCAAGACUGUGAUCAAUAGCUGAUUUGAGAGGAUGAUCAGCCACAUUGGGACUGAGACACGGCCCAAACUCCUACGGGAGGCAGCAGUGGGGAAUCUUGCACAAUGGAGGAAACUCUGAUGCAGCGAUGCCGCGUGAGUGAAGAAGGCCCUUGGGUUGUAAAGCUCUUUCGUCGGGGAAGAAAAUGACUGUACCCGAAUAAGAAGGU